CCUACGGGUGGCAGCAGUGAGGAAUAUUGGUCAAUGGACGAGAGUCUGAACCAACCAAGUAGCGUGAAGGAUGACUGCCCUAUGGGUUGUAAACUUCUUUUAUAUGGGAAUAAAACAGGGUAUGCAUACCCUCUUGUAUGUACCAUAUGAAUAAGGAUCGGCUAACUCCGUGCCAUCAGCCGCGGUAAUACGGAGGAUCCGAGCGUUAUCCGGAUUUAUUUGGUGUAAAGUGAGCGUAGGUGGAUUGUUAAGUCAGUUGUGAAAGUUUGCGGCUCAACCGUAAAAUUGCAGUUGAAACUGGCAGGCUUGAGUACAGUAGAGGUGGGCGGAAUUCGAGGUGUAGCGGUGAAAUGCUUAGAUAUCACGAAGAACUCCGAUUGCGAAGGCAGCUCACUGGACUGCAACUGACACUGAUGCUCGAAAGUGUGGGUAUCAAACAGGAUUAGAUACCCGAGUAGUC
rnacentral:rRNA from 1 species